GCCCUCUCAGGUCGGCUCAUCAACAUCAGGCCAUCCACCAAUUCACUCCGACAGCUAACACGUUUGCCGCCGAUGGGGUCGUCGGUGAAGAAGGCGGCAGUGGCGGAGACGACGGCGCGGGCGGUGGACCAGGCGGUGGCGUACGUGCUCAUGGCCGCCGCGCUCGCCGUCACCUACCUCGUGCACUGACCACCGCGCGGUGAACUCAAGUGCCAAUUUUGAUACAUCCUACGGAAAGGAGGACAGACAAGCUGGAGAUGACGUACUAUGAUUCAAUCGCAGCGGAGGAUUCGACUAUCUAGGGUCGCCACCGUACUUCUUAUCGAUCUCAACCAAACCCUUCGUUAUUGUAAAAAAGAUGUACUACAGAUCUUCUAUAACGAACAGUGCUCAUGAGGGCAAACAUGUCAUGCACUCAUGCUCUAGGAUAAAAGAAAAGAAAUG